GGCAGCUCAGUGGCAGACAUCAUAGUGUCUGUAGAUGUCUUUGCAGAGCUGCAUAGAAAUGGUCAGAGGCGACUUCCCAAGCAGCAGAGAAGACGGCAGUGCUCCAUGGAACUGACCCUGCUUCUCGGGGGAGUCAGUGGCACAACUCACUGACAUCGGUGGGCGCAGGACCAGACCAUACCUGAGGAAUGAGACCACAGGGCACAGAUGUCCAGCAAACGCCAAAGUGGAGAUGGUUUUCUGAGGGAAUAGGGAGAGCCGCACACAAGGAACGUUUCAGGAAGGUGUUGCAGAACCUGAAGAGACUUCCACAUGGCAUCUCCAUGGCAAUGUAUGCAUGCACAUUCCAUGCAGCCUUUGCCUAGGGACUAAUUAUUCCCUGGUUUUGGUGUGGAACCGGAGGCCACAUCAAGAAGCUGGAAUCAAUGGGAGUGGAGCUCCGACAGCUUGUCUGAUCUGCUCUUCAAUCUCCUACAAAGGGAAGUGCGGGUGUUUUUAUUUAGCACUGGGCUCGGCAGGUUGUGGAGUGGGGAGUUCGGGCCAAGGGGAAGGCAUUAUAGGAGUGUUUGUGCAUCGGGGUGGGGAAAUGGGGUCAGGGUUUCCAGCCACGGGGAGGGGAUUAUAGAAGUGUUUGUGUGAGAGAUGGGGGCACUGGCUUGCUAGCAUGGGGUGCAUGUGUGCUGUGAGGAGGGUUGCUGAACAGAAUCUUACUUGAGCAUCAGAUAUUGCUGAGCUCUUCUUCCUCUGCUGGCAGGCACCCCUACCAGCCGAGGGGCUACUUAAGUUCAUCCCUAGCUGGCAGGUCAAUGUGAUGCUGAGCUCUCACCUUCCCAGGCCUGUUUUGCUACAUCAGCGCCUGCUCCUGGUGUCCUUGGCACUAUUUUUAACAGCAUAUGUUUGCCGCAAGGAAAGCUGAUAUCCAUCUUGUCCAUUCAUCAGUGUUGCUUCCCUGGAAAGACAAAGGCUAAAUUUAUCCCACUCCUCAUCAGCCAAGCGAGGCGAUAUAAAUGCUCCCCGCUCCAGCCCGGUCACACACACUGACGUUGGUGGUCCGGGGGAUCUCACAUGUCCAACAUCCACAAACAAGCCGGGGGCCAAAUCCACUUACACAGAUGCCAGUGCACAGACCAGCCUCAAGGCUUGUCUACAUUUGAAUGCUAUAGUGGCACAGCUAGUAUAGACAUUACCUAUGCCAAUGGGAGGGAAGAUUUUUUCUGUUGACCUAGCACUGUCUACAGGGGGACUUAGGUCGCCUUAAUAUGUCACUCAGGGGUGUGAAUUUUUCACACCCCUGAGAGCUGUAACUGGGUCCAUCUAAUCUAGUGUAGAGCAACCCUUACACGGCCCAAUUACCUAGGGGACACUCACCAACUCCAGGAUGCAGACACCACCACGCGUACAAAACACAUGCCUGCCUGAUUCACAUGCCCUCUAUCACUCUGAUCAGUGCAUCUUGAGUGAAUUGGAUCUGGGGCUAAAUUCCCUGUUGACGUAAACUGGUACAACUUCAUUGGCUUCUGUGGAUUUGGGCUAGUUCACACCAGCAACCUGUCUGGCCCCUGGGGUUCUCAGCUCUUCCUGACUUCAUAAAUGCUUUUAAAUUUGUGAAGCAUGUGCCAAGACACAAUGGUGAUGGACCCACUAAAAAUGCCUCCGAGGCAGAUAAACGAUGCCACGCUGGGUGUUGACAGGAACUCCCCUGAAUUGACAUCAGUCUGUCUCAUGACCAUAACAGGCCUGAUGCUUCCAUCUUCCCCCUCCCAGCCUCCCUAUAUGCCAGGUUCAGAAAUGGAUGGCUGUAAGCCCCUGAUUUCCAAAGAAACCUGGUAUAUUAGGCUGAAUGCUACAGCGCACUAAGUCCUUUCCUAAGGAUUUCACAUUCAAUGGUUUCCAUCACCACUAGGUGGUGUAGAUCUGCUGCUAAAUUUUUUCCAUGGCAAAAGUAGAUGGAUGUUAUCUUGUUUUAACAGAGAAAAAUCAGGGACACUGUGGUUAAAUACCUCCUUUCCUCUUCCCUGCCUGGAUGCAUCAAGACAAGGUCAGGUCAUGACAGCAACAGAGGAAAAGGCUAUUACUGAAACCUUACAGAAGUCCCAGCAGCCGCCUCUUCCAACUGGCUUGGAAAGAUUCCUACAAACAAACUUUCUGUCCCAUGAGACUGAAGCCAGCUCAUCUUAUAUUAGGCAUGCCCAAACUUUGCCUAGCUGGGAGCCACGCAUUAGCAACUUCCAGAAGCCCAAGGGAUCAACUUUAAUUUGUAUAAAAUUGUGUGACCCCUGGAGACUACAUGUCCUGGCAUGCAAUGUGCUACCUUGAUCCAAACAACCCUUCCUUAUGCAUCAAGAUGGAGCACUGCAUGUAAAGUUUCAAGGGCCAUGCUUUGUGUAUUAAAGACCAGGUCAGCUGCAGGCUACAUUCCAGAACCCAGGGAAUGGGAUUCAACCCACAGGCCACCCCACGUCCACCCCUGUAUGGAGCAAGGUUCGAAUUGACAAUGCUGAGCCAUUCUAGUGGCCAUGGUCUUUCAUCUGGUCUCAGCAUGGGUGUCAUUAGAGGGGUCCUGGAACUGUCAAGUCAGCUGUUUCCGAAACAAACACUGCUCUUGCUUCACGUGGUGAUGCCAGGAGGUUUGCCCUUGCAGGUGCAGCUGGUCAUGAGUUACUGUUCCCUGGGUCUGGUUGUUUGCAGGUUUUCCUGCUGAGUUCCAUUAGAGUUCAUCCAUUCCAGCCCCUCCGCCCUCCUGGCAUGUGCCCUAUUCCAAGGGGAUCAGUCAGGAUCAGGUGAGGGAGAGUGAUACUAGGCAGCACUUGUGUGUUUGCAAACAGACUGUGGUAUGCGCUGUCUCUAGGGAAGGUCUGGCUUAUACUUUAUACUGUUUGGAAAACUUGGGCCCAAUCCUGUGAGGCUGUGAGUGCUCUCAACUCCCUUUGAGGUCAGCAGGAGCACAGACUUUUGGGUUAAAUCUGGCCCCAAAGUGAGGAUUCAUUAAAGUUGUGCAAAACUUACAACUAUUACAGAUGUUUCUAUUAAAAAAAAUAAAUUUUACCAGAAAUCAAAUGAACAAAAGUGUUUGCAAGCUAAAUAUUUCAAGGGCAUGUUAGUGCAUGAAAGCCCUCGAGUGAAACUCACCACUUGAAACUGGAAACAAAAAGUAAAAGGAACUGAUCUGUGUUUAAUGACCAGGUUGACUGAAAGUGCAUUGAGAAAACAGGCAUUGAGAAAACAGGCGUAUUAAAUCUUACUUGUUUAUUAAUGAUCAUUAUUAUUGCUUUGUGCUGAUAAUCUGUAUAAAACAUACAUAAAGACAGCCCCUGUUUAUUACAAUCUAAGGCCCCGAUGCUGUAAUUGGAUCCGUACCAGUGGCUUCAAUGAAGUCUAUGGACUUUGCAUGGGUGUCAGAAUGUGUGUAUCUGGAUCUGACUGCAGAACUGGAACCAUAGGCCAGAGACACGUGGAAGGAAAAACAUACUAGGACAAACAGAGACAAGGGUAGUUUAGGGUAUUAGUGAGAUUCCACUCUAAAGGGUCAGAGUUUUAAGUGGGUCUUGAAUGACGUGAGCAUGAGCAGGGGGAAGCAAAUUGGAUUUGUAAAAAUUCCUGGUCCAUUUGUGCUUUGGGUCUUAUCUGUGGAGCAAGACAUGCUUCUUGGAGCAGCAGCCUUGCUCCACAGGUGGGGAACUGUAUAAGGCAGGAUUUCAGACUCACUAAUCUAUAAUAGUGUUGGUAACCCAGCUGCCAGGCCCAGAUCCUGCAAGGCCUUACUCCUGGGCUUAACUUUAGGCUGUGCAAACAGCACAAUGACUUCAGUGGGUGAAGAAAAGGGAAGAGCCUGCCUGUAAGGUUUUCUUGAAUUGAGGUGUGUGUGUGUGUGUGUGAGGGGGGGCAGUGUUUAAAGAUGUGGGAUAACAUUUGCAAAGGCAGCCUCCCAAACCCAUGUUUAGGCACCUCAAAGAGGCCCGAUUUGCAGAGGAGCCAAGCAGCCCCCGUCACAGUCCAGCGGCCUUUUGUCUGGCUGCAGGACCCAGGGUUUGAGGAAGCUCGGCAGGCGGGUUUGCAAAUGUCAGGCUCCGAGUUUAACCUGGCGAUGCCCCUCUCCUGGACAAACAGGCGGUAACCUCCCUUCUCUCUCUGCAAGUCCCACACGCCAGCCGGAGCCAGGCACCCCGCCCCCUGGCCGAGCCAGUCACAGCGGCGGCUGGGCUCCGACUGGCUCCCCGCUCGCCGGGGUUGCGGCUAAGGUUUCUCUCGCUGCUCUGUCCCGGCUGGCUCCCUAGCGGCGGGCAGGUAUUUCCACCCUCCACGGCUCCCCCAGCACAGGGCCGGCCGGGCUGCCUGCGCUGCCAGAUGCUUUCCCCUAGGGGUCGGUGUGAGCGAGGGCUCGGCAGCAGGAUGCGGCGAGCGGCGGCACCGGAGUGAGGGAGCCGCACUCGCAGCCCAGGGGCAGCGGCGUGGGCAGCGCGGAUCGCUGGCUCCCGACCUUCCGGGGGCACAGGCAGCCCGGCUGCUGGCGGGAGAGAGGCGGCGGGUCCCUCGGCCCAGCGGGGCCUCUUUGGAAGCGGAUCAGGAGUUGGAGGCAAACUCCUGUGAGCGGCCGCCGCGGGGACGGACAGAUGUGAAGGAAAAUCCCGCCGCUCC